GAGUUUGAUCAUGGCUCAGAUUGAACGCUGGCGGCAUGCCUUACACAUGCAAGUCGAACGGCAGCACGGGAGCUUGCUCCUGGGUGGCGAGUGGCGAACGGGUGAGUAAUGCAUCGGAACGUAGUCCUGGAGUGGGGGAUAACGUAGCGAAAGUUACGCUAAUACCGCAUAUUCUGUGAGCAGGAAAGCGGGGACCUUCGGGCCUCGCGCUCUUGGAGCGGCCGAUGUCGGAUUAGCUAGUUGGUGAGGUAAAGGCUCACCAAGGCGACGAUCCGUAGCAGGUCUGAGAGGAUGAUCUGCCACACUGGAACUGAGACACGGUCCAGGACUCCUACGGGAGGCAGGCAGUGGGAAUUUUGGGACAAUGGGGGCAACCCUGAUCCAGCCAUGCCGCGUGAGUGAAGAAGGCCU
rnacentral:rRNA from 1 species